CAUCCCUAUGAGGAACGCUAGCCAAAGUAAAAGUAGUGGACUGAUCUCCAUUGAUGAAUUCAAUUCUGAGGGAUG
rnacentral:snoRNA from 1 species